rnacentral:rRNA from 1 species
UACGGAGGGUGCAAGCGUUGUCCGGAUUUAUUGGGUUUAAAGGGUGCGUAGGCGGUCUUUUAAGUCAGCGGUGAAAUCCUCCAGCUUAACUGGAGAACUGCCAUUGAUACUGGAAGACUUGAGUACAGACGAGGUAGGCGGAAUUGACAGUGUAGCGGUGAAAUGCUUAGAUAUGACAUAGAAUACCCAUUGCGAAGGCAGCUAACUACGCGAUAAUUGACGCUGAUGCACGAAAGCGUGGGGAUCAAACAGG